UCCCUGAUGGUCCAGUGGUUAAGACUCUGCGCUUCCACUGCAUGGGGUCAAGGGAUCGAUCCCUGGUUGGGGAA
rfam:Ovis aries breed Texel chromosome 5, whole genome shotgun sequence.